rnacentral:lncRNA from 1 species
UGUAAUAAAAGCUCAAAAAUUAAGUUUUUUUCGUAAGGUUCAAAAGCCAAAGAUAUCAGAUAUAAUAAGAACAAACUUCAGAAGGUGAAGGUGAAUAUAAUUUCCUCUAAAUUGUAUUGGUGGCAACCCGUUAGGAAAUUGUUAUGGUGGAAAUUGGUGACUAUGGCCCAUGAUCCACGGCUAUGUUUGGAAGAGAAAAGUGAGGGUUAGAA